rnacentral:tRNA from 1 species
GGCCCCAUCGUCUAAGGGCUAGGACGCCACUCUUUCAAGGUGGUAGUGCGGGUUCGAGUCCCGCUGGGGCCA